rnacentral:rRNA from 1 species
AUGGAGGAGCCACCACACCCAGCCUCACCGGAGUUCCACAGGAAGCUCCUCUCCGGCUCCCCGGACAGGUCUUCCACCGCCCGCCCCGAUCCAGUAGGCAUGCUGGCCUACCCAGUCCACGACUACACCGCGCAACCUGCAUCCUGUGACGAAAGCAUGCGCAGCUACAACCGCAACUUCAACGUCAUCCCAUCGGUGACGUCUCCGGUGCAAGAGGAAUGCGCCAAGUGGCACUACCGUUGGAACCUGUACUUUGAAGAUGGCACCUUUCCACCUCGGCGAGGCCCUGUUCACUCGCGUCUGACCUUUGGAGGAGAAGGAGGCGGGCAAGGUGGCGGCGGAGCUGCUGACUCGGCUGGUGGAGGGGCCGCCGGCGGGAACCGCGGCUACAGAGGAAGGGAGCCCGAUGAGGGGCGAGAUGGUGGGCACGUGCAUGGAGACCGCCACGGUAGUCCACAGGGGUCAAGACGCCGUCAACUGGCUGCCGAAGCGGCAGACGGUGCCCCUAACGGCAUGAUGGAGGGCACUGAGAAGAUGUGA